UACGUAGGGCGCAAGCGUUGUCCGGAAUUAUUGGGCGUAAAGAGCUCGUAGGUGGUUUGUCGCGUCUGUCGUGAAAGCCCGGGGCUUAACUCCGGGUCUGCGGUGGAUACGGGCAGACUAGAGGCAGGUAGGGGAGAACGGAAUUCCCGGUGUAGCGGUGAAAUGCGCAGAUAUCAGGAAGAACACCCGUGGCGAAGGCGGCUCUCUGGAACGCAACUGACGCUGAGACGCGAAAGCAUGGGGAGCGAACAGG
rnacentral:rRNA from 1 species